rnacentral:rRNA from 1 species
AUUGAACGCUGGCGGCAGGCCUAACACAUGCAAGUCGAGCGGUAGAGAGGUGCUUGCAUCUCUUGAGAGCGGCGGACGGGUGAGUAAUGCCUAGGAAUCUGCCUAGUGGUGGGGGAUAACGUUCGGAAACGGACGCUAAUACCGCAUACGUCCUACGGGAGAAAGCGGGGGAUCUUCGGACCUCGCGCCAUUAGAUGAGCCUAGGUCGGAUUAGCUAGUUGGUGAGGUAAUGGCUCACCAAGGCGACGAUCCGUAACUGGUCUGAGAGGAUGAUCAGUCACACUGGAACUGAGACACGGUCCAGACUCCUACGGGAGGC